AAGUGCGUGUUGUCGUACAGCAGUCACCGUGCUCGGCUGACACUCCGGGUUAGCUGUGGGUGUCGAAAGGCUGUUGUUAUAGGAAGGGAGAAUAAGAGUAACACCUAGGUAUGAGGUGCAGACGAAGUGCAAGACACAAAUACUGGGCGUACCAGAUAAGGAGUAUAACAAAGUACGAGGUGCAGACGAAGUGCAAGACACAAGUACUUUAGUUAUUAGGAGAGGAUAAUGAAGUACGAGGUGCAGACGAAGUGCAAGACACAAGUACUUCAGAGAGAGAACGGGGUAGCCGAGUAUAAGGUGCAGACGAAGUGCAAGACACAAAUACUGGGCGUACCAGAUAAGGAGUAUAACAAAGUACGAGGUGCAGACGAAGUGCAAGACACAAGUACUUCAGAGAGAGAACGGGGUAGCCGAGUAUAAGGUGCAGACGAAGUGCAAGACACAAAUACUAGGCGUACCAGGUGAGGAAAGAUAACAGAGUACGAGGUGCAGACGAAGUGCAAGACACAAGUACUCUGAAAUGUCGAGGAAAAGAGUAUAUAGGUUAGAAAAGGAAUAAACAAAGACUUUACUUUAAACAGUAAGCCGGACAGCGACAACCGAGUACUGAGACUGAUGAAUGACACAAGGCACUGGAGUCGACUGACCACGAUGGUCAGGUCUAUUGGGUUUUUAUAAUAAUUACACUUAUUGCCGAUUUGGCAAUAAAUAUUAUUUGUUAAUUCA